rnacentral:rRNA from 1 species
UACGGGGGGGGGCAAGCGUUGUUCGGAAUUACUGGGCGUAAAGGGCUCGUAGGUGGCCAACUAAGUCAGACGUGAAAUCCCUCGGCUUAACCGGGGAACUGCGUCUGAUACUGGAUGGCUUGAAUUCGGGAGAGGGAUGUGGAAUUCCAGGUGUAGCGGUGAAAUGCGUAGAUAUCUGGAGGAACACCGGUGGCGAAGGCGGCAUCCUGGACCA